GGGGCGUGGCUCGAUUGGGAGAGCGCCUGCCUGGCACGCAGGAGGCCCUGGGUUCUGUCCCUGUCCCCA
rnacentral:tRNA from 1 species